AGAACCACUAUACACAGCUUUUGUUGUUUUGCGUUUUGAGACGAGCUGGGUGUGGUGGCACAUGC
rnacentral:miRNA from 1 species